rnacentral:rRNA from 1 species
GACGAACGCUGGCGGCGUGCCUAAUACAUGCAAGUUGAGCGCUGAAGGUUGGUACUUGUACCAACUGGAUGAGCAGCGAACGGGUGAGUAACGCGUGGGGAAUCUGCCUUUGAGCGGGGGACAACAUUUGGAAACGAAUGCUAAUACCGCAUAAAAACUUUAAACACAAGUUUUAAGUUUGAAAGAUGCAAUUGCAUCACUCAAAGAUGAUCCCUCGUUGUAUUAGCUAGUUGGUGAGGUAAAGGCUCACCAAGGCGAUAAUACAUAGCCGACCUGAGAGGGUGAUCGGCCACAUUGGGACUGAGACACGGCCCAAACGCCUACGGGAGGCAGCAGUAGGGAAUCUUCGGGAAUGGACGAAAGUCUGACCGAGCAACGCCGCGUGAGUGAAGAAGGUUGUCGGAUCGUAAAACUCGGUUGGUAGAGAAGAACGUUGGUGAGAGUGGAAAGCUCAUCAAGUGACGGUAACUACCCAGAAAGGGACGGCUAACUACGUG